rnacentral:lncRNA from 1 species
AGCCCCGUCCUCCGCACCGCCUCGCGCAGUGUCCUUUCCCACACCAUCCAUCCCUUCCCAGUCCUAUCGGACUUUCCCCUCUCCUUUCCCCUUAGUUUUCCCGCCGCGCAGGCCUUUCCUCAGCCUCUUCACAACGCACCUCAGCCCCCCUCCAGUUCACUGCCGUCAUCUUUCCCUCCACUUUUGGGCCCUAGAAUGUUUGGUGUUAGAUGUCCCGCAUAGAAAGCCACAGACCUUGACAUCUCAGGAUGAGUUGCCGCCUUGGUAGCCUCCGUGUUUUACUUUCUUUAUUCUGUGCACUCGCAUCACUACUACUAAUAAGUAGUAGUUCAUUACUACUCUCUCACUGUACCUUUAACUCGGUAUUUUUUUUUUUCUACUGCCGUCGCUGCCCUCUUCCCUACACAGGCCCUCUGCCGCCUCAGGAGUGUAAACCGCUAGAAGGGAAGGCGUCGAGGUCUCCAGCCCCAGGCCCAGGCACGCGCGCGGUAGCCGCCCCACCUUUGUUGAAGCGGGAGGGGGGAGGGGAAAUGGCUUUAGUAUCUGUAGCUCCAUCUGGUCAAGGACGGAGCUUUAGAUCAGAUAAGAAGAAUCUGGCUGCCCAAGUGGAGCAGAAAAAGAUCUCACAACAGAUCAGUAUGCGGGGGUGGGGGGAUCCCACCAGUGAGAAGAGACCCCCUGUUCCCCGGUUCCCCCGCCCUGCUCAUUCCCUGGAACCAGCAGCCCCUUUGGUGGAACCUCUGUGCUCCCUGUUCUGCCCGCCCCCCGCCAGCUCUGGGUGCCGCCUUUACAGAUCGGCUCCCACCAUGACAAGGUCUCAGGCUUCUGUCCCUCCUCAUCUCCUCUUCCUCUCCAGUCCCAAGACCCCUUCUCUGCUGACUCAGCCCAGAGGGAUCCAGGGCUCAGGAUUUGGGAUUACCUGGGUGUGUGAGGCCUCUCCCCAGGGAGCCUCCAUCCCACAAUGCAGCCCUGCCCAUAAGGGUGGAGAGGGGCAGCAUUACCCACGCC